GUAGCUAAGUGGUAGAGUGCUUGCCUUGCAUGCAUGAGUCCCUGGGUUCAAUUCCUCAGC
rnacentral:tRNA from 1 species